UACAGAAGCUGAGGGUCUGUUGCAGUAUGUCAAACAGAUGAACAUGUUGGAGUGACCAAAACUGCAACCAGAAUAAACUUCCAAGAGCUUGAAACGAACUUACGGAGCAGAAUUGGUAUUUCAGAAAGGGAGCAGAUUCAAAUGAAGGUUUAAAAGUUCUAAGAGGUUUCAGAAAGCAUCUCUGCCUGAAUGGAAAAGCCAGAACAGCAAAUGUAUGAAAUUCAGACAUGAAACUGUAAAGUGUAUUUACUCUCUGAAUUGAAAGAAGCAAUCUGAACACUAACCUACACUGAAGAAAAGAAACUUACUGAAGAAAACCAUGAAAAGGGGAGACCCCUUGGACUAGAAAGCAUGAAAAGAAAUGAAUAAACCCCCCUGAGUUAGACUAGAAUAUUCAUGAGAGCUUGGUAACUUUAUAAAAGUAGGUGUAGUUUGUUUCAAGAAACUUGUUCCAAAGUGUAGCUUACUAAUUGUAUCUGCCAUUAACCUCUGCAGUGGUUAAUGUUCCUAAACAGAAAACCCUGUUUAGGGUAGAAUAUGUCACAUGAUGGAACCAAUAA